CCUUACUGGGUAGACUGCAGAGCUUCUGUAGGGGAAUAACCUGUGCUUUUUAUUGAUGCCCUAGGGACCGGGCCCGAGUGUGUGUGUGUGUGUGCGCGUGUGUGUGCGUUUUCUGUGUUCGCUGGUUGAACUGACGCUAGGAGGAGGGAGAAGGCGGAGGGGCUGGGAACUAUUUUUGUUCCCUUAGGUAGCAUAAAAUUGUCUUUGCUUAAUGAAAAGUUUUAAAACUGGUCAGGACAGGAGCAAAAGUACUGUGAAUAUGGUGGAGUAAAAGGGAUUACUCCUGAGGAACCUUAGGCCUGUGACUAAUCCCUUAAUUAUUAUGUGAAAAGUUACAGAUUCUUAGGAAUUUUAAGUUUUGGAGACGGCAACAGUAAAUAAAUUUAAUGUAUAUGUUUGAAAUCAGGAAAAACCGGUUCCUUUGGGCACACUUUUUGUCCUAUGUGAAGAAAUCUAUAACCAUUGUCAGUAAUCACCUUUCUAGGCACAAUCUUAAAGCCUAUAUCCAAAACUAUGAAGGUGAGAAGCUUGUUAAAAAGUCAUCCCUACAGGGUUAAGUGCCCUGGAAGACAAAUACAAUAGCAAUUAUAUUUUGUAAUUGAAUUUAAAUUUAUUACCCUGACUUGAAGAAUCCGCUGUAAGCACUGUUUUCAAAACUACAGGAACAUCAUUGUACAGUAUGUUCAAAAAUAGAGAUGCCCUUCUUCAGAUCACGAAGCAAUUACGUUCAUGGAUCUUUAAGGUCAUUAAUAAUUUAAUUCUAAUCUUUGUAAAAUAAUUUGUAUGAAUAUUCCAAAUGCAGUGUGUGCUGCUUUCCUAAGAAACAUGUUUAAUCUUGUUUUGAGAGAAUGCUACUGCCAUUAAGUUUUAGUUAUUUAAAGUGUAAUAGAGUGGUAGUUUAGAACACAGGUGUUUGGUUUUUAGUUGUCAGUAAGGAAGGGGCUUUCAGGGACUUUUGUGUGUUGUAAGAUACAUGCCUUCUGUAGAUUUGAUUGUAUUUUCUGGAAUUUGUUUUUUGAAAUACCUUAUUAGAAUGUUUAUUUAGUAUUUGGGGCACUAUAUUUAUUAAAUGUGCAAUCCAGAAAUUCCUGCAUUUACUUUUUUACUUAGAGUAUAUGUUUCAUAUUUUUAAACUGAGAUUAACAGAAGUGAUUGUCAGCUCUUUAAGAAAUAAUUUGAAGUGGUGCUUUUUAUUGGUAUUCAGGAUUUAGAGACUAUAUGAAUAUCAUUUUUUUUUUUUUUUGUCUUUUUGCCUUUGCUAGGACCACUCCCCCGGCACAUGGAGGUUCCCAGGCUCGGGGUCUAAUCGGAGCUGAAGCCGCUGGCCUAUGCCAGAGCCACAGCAACGCAGGAUCCAAGCCACAUCUGCAACCUACACCACACACAGCUCACAACAACGCCAGAUCGUUAACCCACUGAGCAAGGCCAGGGACCGAACCUGAAACCUCAUGGUUCCUAGUCGGAUUCGUAAACCACUGUGCCACGACGGGAACUCCUAUAUGAAUAUCAUUUUAAAAAGAUAUGCUUUACAUCAAACUUCUACUCCCUGUAAUUAACAUUAACUCUGAAGAAAUCAUCUAUAAAGUUUUUCUACCUAAAUUUUUGUAUUUUGGAAAAGUUGGGAUUUAAUGAUUUGUAUAUCUUCUGCUGGUAGAUUAAAUUGUUAGAUCCAGUAAAUAAUCUCACCAUACAUGCUGUUUCCAUUCAUUUUGUCUUCAGGCUCUUCCUUCCAAUAUGAAAUAAGCCUAUAAGCUGGCACCUCUUUUUCUUUGAUAUUCCUAGUUUAAUGUCCUUAGAAAAGGUAAAGUAGUUGAAGUCUCCCUAUUUUAAACCAGAUUUUCACCAGAAACUCUCAUCUCCACUGAAUAACAAUUAUUUUUUUUAAAUUAAUAAAGUAUUUGUUAUGCUGUUCUUUAAUUAAAAGUGUACUAUGGAAUUCCCACUGUGGUUCAGUGGGUUCAGGAUGUGGCAUUGCCAAAGCUGUGGUGUAGGUCACAGCUGCUGCUCAGAUUCCACCCCUGGCCCAGGGAACUUCUGUACACUGAGGUGUGGGCACAGUAAAUUAAAAUGUACUGUAAAUAAAUUUGUAUUGUUGUAGUCAGUAGUUUAAUCUAGAACAUUUAUGUGUUUAUCAAAUAUUCCCACCUUUUCCUUGAGGCUAAAUACUGAUCUAAAAUUCUGCGUGUUAUUGUAACUUUUACUGAUGAGGUAGUAAUGAUAGUAUUCACCUAUUCAUAUCUAGGGGAAAAUCCCACAAAAAAUAUUUUGUUUCUUUUGUUCUGUUUCUUAAGUUUGAAAAGUUAGUGUAAGUUAUAGUUUCAAAGAAAUUUAAGGAUCUUUAAGGUCAGCAAUAAUUGGAAUUAUUUUACAUGUAUUAUUAUAACUAAAUAUCAUUUAAAAUAUACAUAAAUAUUCAUUAAAAAUCCUACUUUCAUUCUUUUUAAUAACCUUGUAACUGGUAUAUCCAUUUAUAUAUGUGUAUUUUUUGGGCGGCUUUUUUUUUUUUGGCUUCUCUAGGGCCGCACCCACAGCAUAUGGAGGUUCCUAGGCUAAGGGUCUAAUUGGACCUGUAGCCGCUGGCCUACGCCACAGCCUCAGCAACUUGGGAUCCAAGCCACAUUUUCAACCUACACCACGGCUCCAGAAAUGCCAGAUCUUUAACCCACUGAGCAAGGCCAAGGAUCAAACCUGCAACCUCAUGGUUCCUAGUCAGAUUCGUUAACCACUGAGCCAUGACGGGAACUCCUCCAUUUAUAUAUAUAUAUAUUUUUUAGUGACGCUUUCUUUUUCUUCUUCUUGGCAUUUUGGUAGUGGUAGUAAUUAAAAACAUUUUUUUGCAACAAGAAGGGAUAUAAAUUCUUGGUGGCCUAGGCCUCAUCACCCACCUCUGCAUUCUGUAUCUUAACAGAGAUAGAGAUUCUACACCAUUUUUUUCUUUCGGUCUUAAUAAUUAAGGAAUAGAAAGCACUCCCAACAGUAAUAGUAGCUUAUUACUGGAGAAACUCUCAACAAGAUUAGAGGGGAAAGACAGAGUGGGAAUGAUUGUAAUUGGCAAAAAAGCCAGUUGGUAAAUUACCAAGAAGUAUUUUGGUUACUUUGGUAUUAUAUGGUUACCUUCACCUGUAAUGUGACCUUAAAUUUAUAAAUAUGCUCCCUAAAUGUUCUUUAGUUUGCCUAACUGAACCUCAACCUUUAUCAUUCCAAUUUUAUAGCUUUGUUUUUUUUUCUAAUUCUACUGUUUUGAGUGAGUGUGUUUACUUUUAUUUACUGAAUACUUGUUAAUGUUAGCAGAAAUCAGUUCCAGUUUUCCCUACUAACAGAUAAGUGUUUUCAUUAUUUUUGUUGUCUUCUAAUUUGUGCAUAUACAUUACAGUUUUUACAGAAUUAUAAUAUCAUAGAUAGUUUUUUUAUUUUACUUUUAUAGCAUAAGCAUUUUCCCAUGUUAUCUAAUAUUAUUAUUAUUGUAAUAGUUAAUGGUUACAUGAUAGUUUACCAAGCAGCUAUUAAAGUUUCCUCAAUUGUAAUGCCCAACAGGAAAUUUUUUGGUUUCUGCCUAUUUUAACAUUAAAUUAAGCACCUCUGUGCAUAUACUUUUUUCUUACUUCCAGUUGUUUAAGACACCGAUCAAAUGAAAUUACUAGGUCAAAGAAAGACUUGCCAGAGUCUUUCUCCCCAAAUAGUUGAGCAGGUGUAUAUCAUAAUGUUAAUGUACUAACCUUGUCAUAAUUUUAUCAAUUUUGGAGUUGUUCUUAUUAAAAAAGUAGGAUUACUUAGCUAGGAAUUAUUAAUGGGAGUAAGCUGCAUUAUUUAGACGUUUUAUUUAGUUGACUAUAUCAAUCCAUAAUUAUUUGUUUGCCAGUGAUCUAUGUGGGGGACAGAUAUUGUAUAUUUAAUAUUUUCUGUCAUUUCAUUUUGUUUCCCUUAAAGAUUACUGAAACUUUUGAUAUCCUAGUAACAAUAAUCCUUAAAUUUUAUGCAGUUUUACAUAGUUUACACAUUGGAUGUCUUAUGUUUGUUUUAACGUAAGAGCUAUGUUUUGAACUGUACAUUUAUGAAUUACUAAAAUUUGUAAUGACGUUUAUUUCAUAUAUAUAAUCCUUCAAAUAAAAUGUUAUAGCCAAAUUAACUGUGCCAGUCAUCUUCUGGCAUGUUUUAAGAAUAUAAUCAGUGUUUUAGGAUAGUUAUUUGUCAUGUUGCCAUGAGUCUACCACUUAUUAUCUCUGUCACCCUGGGCAAAUAAUAUACCUUCUCUGUGCUUCAGUUUCCUUAUCUUUAAAAAUAAUGCUUAACUCAUAGCUUUUUGAACAUUCAGAUAAUUAAUUAUAUUCAGUGCUUGAAACAGUGUCAGGAACUUAAUGAGUACUCAGUGUACGGUAUGGUAAUUAUUAUUGUUAAAGUUCAUUCAAAAAUAAUAAUAAUCCAGCACAACCCUGACAGGCAUGCUUGCAAUGUGGCUUAAAGGCAGUACUGCAAUCAUCUAUUUAGUAGCUUUGGCAAUAAUGUUGAGUUUUCCCUGGGAACUUAUAAUUUGUGGCAGAACUUACUGCCUUAGAAUUUUCAUAAAUCCAUGUGAGAGAAUAUCUUAUAUUUUUUGUUCCAUAUACACCCCUUCUGCCCAUGUGAGACUGUUUCUAUAAAAAACUCAUUCAGUAUAGCAUAUCCAUAUUUUGAGAUGAUAAAACUGCGAUACUGUGACUUCCAUACAAUCCAAUUAUUUUCUUCUGCUCCACCAAUCCACUACAAACACUUUGGUGAGACCUUUCAUUUCUUCCUCUCCAUAGUGGAAGAGAUGAUUAAAUUAAAACACCACAUUUCUCUUUUGGGGUGGGGGGUGUGCAAGAAUUAGUAGCUUGAUUUGGAAAGCCAGCAUACCGAGAAGACCAUGGAUUUGUGUCCCAAAGAAUCAUCUUCCCUCAGAGUUUAGCCUUCUUUUCUACCAGAAGGAGAGGGAAUACAAUCCUGGUUCAGGUCAGACUCCAGAAGGGAGGUACUCUUUUCUUCCUUCCUGCAGCCAUUCACAGGUGAGCAUGGUCAAGAGUUUUCCUAUGAGCUAAACAAAAGUAUUUUAGCUUAACGUUCAUUACACGGAAGGCAAGGUUCCCAGAGAUGGGCCAUUAUGUAUAAUAUAAAGUUAUAGGCAGAGUUCCCAUCAUGGCUCAGUGGUUAAUGAACGUGACAAGUAUCCACGAAGAUCUCUGGCCUUGCUUGGUGGGUUAAGGAUCUGGCAUUGUAGUAAGAUGUGGUGUAGGUCGCAGACGCGGCUGGGAUCCCACAUUGCUGUGUUGUAGGCUGGCAGCUACAGCUCCAAUUUAGCCCCUAGCCUAGGAAUUCCCAUAUGCUGCUGGUGCAGUCCUAAAAAGACAAAAAAAAAAAAAAAGUUUAUAGGCAACAUCACUUUAGUGAUUAAAGGAAAUGGAUCCAACAUGGAGUCAGGUUUGUUCUUCCCUACUACAGGAUGACAUAUUGGUUUAUUGGUUCUUGGCUAGAUUGAAUCAUAUGUCUACAGUCAGCUGUGGGUUGGCUAGGCAGUCCUUUUGUUGUUACUGGUGAUAUUAGUCAACCACAUGUCUGCUCGUUAACUAGCAGUUAAUUGACUGGUCUAGUUAACCUCAGCCUUUCUCCUAGAAGCCUAGCCUGGUUCUCAUGGCAAAACACCACACUUCCAAUGUUUGUUCUUUUGAUUUCUUUACCAAUUUCUUUACUAAUAAAUACAACAUCAUUUCUCAGUCACAGUGUUGAGAGUCACUGAUAUCUUUCAUCAUUUGUAAGACAGGCUUUAAUGAUUGCUGAAGUAUGAAUGCUAGGGUUACUUUUGAGGUAAUAUCUCUUUCAUUUACUUGAAUAUUGACAUAUUUUGCAGGAGGGGGAGAUGAGCUUACCAGUGUUAAAAUGGGAAUUGUACGUAAUCUAUACUCUGUGUUAUUUGUGCCUUCUUCAUAUUGAGAAAUUAUUGUUGAUGUACUCCUAAUAGGUGAUUGUUAUGAAUUACUGUAAUUCUUGGUGAGCUGUCAGUUUCUAUUUCUUUUUUUUUAAACUUUUAUAAGAUGUAUUUUCAGUAAGAGAUGAGAUCCUGCUGUGUAGCCCUGGGGACUAUGUCUAGUCACUUAGGAUGCAGCAUGAUAAUAUGAGAAAAAAGAAUGUAUACAUGUAUGUGUAACUGGGUCACCAUGCUGUACAGUAGGAAAAAAAAAACUGUAUUGGGGAAAUAAAAAUUAAAAAAUAAAAUAGAUAUAAAAUAAAAAAA
rnacentral:lncRNA from 1 species